GCACGCAACUCUCUGAGAUGCGAUCUGGGACGAGACACAAACAGUUGUGCGCUGGUGGUCGUACGGCACACUAAUCUGGGGCGAAGGCAAAGAGCGAGGGUCUAUUUAAUAUUAUGGAUAUUAUUUAAUAUUUACAUAUAAUGGAAUUGGUCACCUACAAAUUGAAUAGUAUGAAUGCAGGUUAUAGUUAUAUGCACUAUUCCCAUUCAUUGACGUUUGGAAAGGAAGCGGAAUAGAAUGCCCUUUUUCUGAAGGACAUUCGACUACAUUUUUAUUAAUGUUCUCACAUAUUUUUCUAAAUCUUUACUUGCCUGCAGAGAAAUGAACAAGACACUGAAUUCAAAUUAAAACAGGGUACAAGUUAAAUCAGCUUUCACUUCUUCAGUGAAGACUCUUCAUCAACUAAUGAUGAGGUUGGAGACCCUCCAAUACUCAGCGAAGGUCAUUUUGAGAGCAGGCUUGGCAGUGCUGGUCUUCUCAGGUCUGCCUGCCCCAUGGUCUAUGUCCAUAGCCUCCUCUGCAUGAUGGCCAUUAGUGCCGUUUCUCCCCUUCACAGCCUCAUCUAUCAAGUCAUUCUGAAAUGGAGAACACA